GUCUACAGCCAUACCACCCUGAACACGCCCAAUCUCGUCUGAUCUUGGAAGCUAAGCAGAGUCGGGCCUGGCUAGUACUUGGAUGGGAGACAGCCUGGGAAUAUUGGGUGCUGUAGGUU
ensembl:rRNA 5S_rRNA 5S ribosomal RNA